rnacentral:RNase_P_RNA from 2 species
CCGGAGGGCCGGGCGGCCGCGUCGCGAUUCGUCGCGCCGAGGAAAGUCCGGGCUCCACGAAACGACGGUGGCGGGUAACGCCCGCCGGUCCGGGCUUCGGCCCGGGUCAGGGAAAGUGCCACAGAGAGCAGACGGCGACCACUUCGGUGACGCCACGGUGAAAGGGUGCGGCAAGAGCGCACCGCGCGGCUGGCGACAGUCGCGGCACGGCAAACCCCACCGGGAGCAAGACCGAAUAGGGACGGCACAUGGGUGUGUUUCCACCCGUCGUCCGGGUUGGUCGCUUGAGCGCGUCGGCAACGGCGCGCCUAGAGGAAUGGUCGCCCAUCCGGUUUCGGCCGGUGGACAGAACCCGGCUUACAGGCCCUCCGGCGCC